UACGUAGGGUGCAAGCGUUAAUCGGAAUUACUGGGCGUAAAGCGUGCGCAGGCGGUUUUGUAAGUCUGACGUGAAAUCCCCGUGCUCAACCUGGGAAUUGCGUUGGAGACUGCAAGGCUAGAAUCUGGCAGAGGGGGGUAGAAUUCCACGUGUAGCAGUGAAAUGCGUAGAGAUGUGGAGGAACACCGAUGGCGAAGGCAGCCCCCUGGGUCAAGAUUGACGCUCAUGCACGAAAGCGUGGGGAGCAAACAGG
rnacentral:rRNA from 1 species